UGUUCAGUGUUCAGUGUUGGUCAGCCUUAAGAGUGAACCGCGUCAAUUUUCACAGUUUGAUGUGUGAAAGUUGAUGGUGGUACACAAUUAAGACUGAAACCCAAAAGCAUCGUAUCUGA
rnacentral:precursor_RNA from 15 species